rnacentral:rRNA from 1 species
UGUAAGCGUAUACCAAAGUUGUUGCAGUUAAAACGCUCGUAGUCGGAAUUUGGCAGUUCCGGAUGUGUGCACGUCGUGUGCGCACUUCGCGGGGAUUGCUUUUGUGGUCUUGCGUAGGAUGAGGCACUUUUAUUAGUGAACGUCCUCACGCAACCACUUUUUACUGUGAGAAAAUCAGAGUGCUCAAAGCAGGCAUUUGCCGUGAAUGUAUUAGCAUGGAAUAAUAGAAUAGGACUUGGUUCUAUUUUGUUGGUUUGUUGGAACUGAGUAAUGAUUAAGAGGGACAGUUGGGGGCAUUUGUAUUUCGGUGCUAGAGGUGAAAUUCUUAGAUUACCGAAAGACAAACUGCUGCGAAAGCGUCUGCCAAGGAUGUUUUCAUUGA